AAGAAAGUGGCAGAAGCUAUGUGGCUGAUUUGAAAUUAGCAGAUGGAGGUUCAAUUCCUUCCUUUCUCG
rnacentral:tRNA from 1 species